rnacentral:rRNA from 1 species
UUAAGCGACUAAGCGUACACGGUGGAUGCCCUGGCAGUCAGAGGCGAUGAAGGACGUGCUAAUCUGCGAUAAGCGUCGGUAAGGUGAUAUGAACCGUUAUAACCGGCGAUUUCCGAAUGGGGAAACCCAGUGUGAUUCGUCACACUAUCAUUAACUGAAUCCAUAGGUUAAUGAGGCGAACCGGGGGAACUGAAACAUCUAAGUACCCCGAGGAAAAGAAAUCAACCGAGAUUCCCCCAGUAGCGGCGAGCGAACGGGGAGGAGCCCAGAGCCUGAAUCAGUGUGUGUGUUAGUGGAAGCGUCUGGAAAGGCGCGCGAUACAGGGUGACAGCCCCGUACACAAAAAUGCACAUGCUGUGAGCUCGAUGAGUAGGGCGGGACACGUGGUAUCCUGUCUGAAUAUGGGGGGACCAUCCUCCAAGGCUAAAUACUCCUGACUGACCGAUAGUGAACCAGUACCGUGAGGGAAAGGCGAAAAGAACCCCGGCGAGGGGAGUGAAAAAGAACCUGAAACCGUGUACGUACAAGCAGUGGGAGCACAGAGCAAUCUGUGUGACUGCGUACCUUUUGUAUAAUGGGUCAGCGACUUAUAUUCUGUAGCAAGGUUAACCGAAUAGGGGAGCCGAAGGGAAACCGAGUCUUAACUGGGCGUUAAGUUGCAGGGUAUAGACCCGAAACCCGGUGAUCUAGCCAUGGGCAGGUUGAAGGUUGGGUAACACUAACUGGAGGACCGAACCGACUAAUGUUGAAAAAUUAGCGGAUGACUUGUGGCUGGGGGUGAAAGGCCAAUCAAACCGGGAGAUAGCUGGUUCUCCCCGAAAGCUAUUUAGGUAGCGCCUCGUGAAUUCAUCUCCGGGGGUAGAGCACUGUUUCGGCAAGGGGGUCAUCCCGACUUACCAACCCGAUGCAAACUGCGAAUACCGGAGAAUGUUAUCACGGGAGACACACGGCGGGUGCUAACGUCCGUCGUGAAGAGGGAAACAACCCAGACCGCCAGCUAAGGUCCCAAAGUCAUGGUUAAGUGGGAAACGAUGUGGGAAGGCCCAGACAGCCAGGAUGUUGGCUUAGAAGCAGCCAUCAUUUAAAGAAAGCGUAAUAGCUCACUGGUCGAGUCGGCCUGCGCGGAAGAUGUAACGGGGCUAAACCAUGCACCGAAGCUGCGGCAGCGACGCUGAUGCGUUGUUGGGUAGGGGAGCGUUCUGUAAGCCUGUGAAGGUGUGCUGUGAGGCAUGCUGGAGGUAUCAGAAGUGCGAAUGCUGACAUAAGUAACGAUAAAGCGGGUGAAAAGCCCGCUCGCCGGAAGACCAAGGGUUCCUGUCCAACGUUAAUCGGGGCAGGGUGAGUCGACCCCUAAGGCGAGGCCGAAAGGCGUAGUCGAUGGGAAACAGGUUAAUAUUCCUGUACUUGGUGUUACUGCGAAGGGGGGACGGAGAAGGCUAUGUUGGCCGGGCGACGGUUGUCCCGGUUUAAGCGUGUAGGCUGGUUUUCCAGGCAAAUCCGGAAAAUCAAGGCUGAGGCGUGAUGACGAGGCACUACGGUGCUGAAGCAACAAAUGCCCUGCUUCCAGGAAAAGCCUCUAAGCAUCAGGUAACAUCAAAUCGUACCCCAAACCGACACAGGUGGUCAGGUAGAGAAUACCAAGGCGCUUGAGAGAACUCGGGUGAAGGAACUAGGCAAAAUGGUGCCGUAACUUCGGGAGAAGGCACGCUGAUAUGUAGGUGAAGUCCCUCGCGGAUGGAGCUGAAAUCAGUCGAAGAUACCAGCUGGCUGCAACUGUUUAUUAAAAACACAGCACUGUGCAAACACGAAAGUGGACGUAUACGGUGUGACGCCUGCCCGGUGCCGGAAGGUUAAUUGAUGGGGUCAGCGCAAGCGAAGCUCUUGAUCGAAGCCCCGGUAAACGGCGGCCGUAACUAUAACGGUCCUAAGGUAGCGAAAUUCCUUGUCGGGUAAGUUCCGACCUGCACGAAUGGCGUAAUGAUGGCCAGGCUGUCUCCACCCGAGACUCAGUGAAAUUGAACUCGCUGUGAAGAUGCAGUGUACCCGCGGCAAGACGGAAAGACCCCGUGAACCUUUACUAUAGCUUGACACUGAACAUUGAGCCUUGAUGUGUAGGAUAGGUGGGAGGCUUUGAGGUGUGGACGCCAGUCUGCAUGGAGCCGACCUUGAAAUACCACCCUUUAAUGUUUGAUGUUCUAACGUUGACCCGUAAUCCGGGUUGCGGACAGUGUCUGGUGGGUAGUUUGACUGGGGCGGUCUCCUCCUAAAGAGUAACGGAGGAGCACGAAGGUUGGCUAAUCCUGGUCGGACAUCAGGAGGUUAGUGCAAUGGCAUAAGCCAGCUUGACUGCGAGCGUGACGGCGCGAGCAGGUGCGAAAGCAGGUCAUAGUGAUCCGGUGGUUCUGAAUGGAAGGGCCAUCGCUCAACGGAUAAAAGGUACUCCGGGGAUAACAGGCUGAUACCGCCCAAGAGUUCAUAUCGACGGCGGUGUUUGGCACCUCGAUGUCGGCUCAUCACAUCCUGGGGCUGAAGUAGGUCCCAAGGGUAUGGCUGUUCGCCAUUUAAAGUGGUACGCGAGCUGGGUUUAGAACGUCGUGAGACAGUUCGGUCCCUAUCUGCCGUGGGCGCUGGAGAACUGAGGGGGGCUGCUCCUAGUACGAGAGGACCGGAGUGGACGCAUCACUGGUGUUCGGGUUGUCAUGCCAAUGGCACUGCCCGGUAGCUAAAUGCGGAAGAGAUAAGUGCUGAAAGCAUCUAAGCACGAAACUUGCCCCGAGAUGAGUUCUCCCUGACUCCUUGAGAGUCCUGAAGGAACGUUGAAGACGACGACGUUGAUAGGCCGGGUGUGUAAGCGCAGCGAUGCGUUGAGCUAACCGGUACUAAUGAACCGUGAGGCUUAACCUU